GGGACCCUCCGGUCGUGCGGGGAGGUCCUCCCAUGAUGGUGUUGUCCCCCUCCCCUCUAACGUGUGUCCCCCCCGGCUCUACCUUCCCCCCCCAGCUCCUGAAGUGAUCAACUAUGAACCUCUGAGCUCCGCGACCGACAUGUGGCUCAGCGGCUUGUCCCCCUUCCAGGGCGAGACGGACGCCGAGACCCUCUCCAACGUGGUGGCCGGCGCCUACGAGUUCGAGGAGCGCUGCUUCAGCCAGACCUCCGAGAUGGCCAAGGACUUCAUCCGGCAGCUGCUGGUGAAGGAGCCAGAGUGAGUCCCCGUCCCCUCCCCACCCCCAUCCUGUCUCAUCUCCAUCCCCAUCCCAAUCUCCAUCUUCAUCCACAUUCCCAUCCCAAUCCCCAACUCUCCAUACCAAUCCCUUUCUCCAUCCCCAUCUCCAUCAUCUCCACCAUCCCCACCAUCUCCACCAUCCCCAUCUUCAUCCCCAUCUCUGUCUCCAUCCACAUUCCUAGCCCAAUCCUCAACCCUGUCCCCAUCUCCAUCAUCCCCAUCUCCAUCAUCCCCAUCUCCAUCAUCCCCAUCUCCAUCUCCAUCUGCAUUCCCAUCCCAAUCCCCAACACUGACCCCACCCCUAUCUGCAUCUCAAUCCCAGUUCCAGUCACUGUCCCCAUCUCCAUCAAUCCCAUCAUCCCCAUCAUCUUCACUGUCCCUAUCUCCG
rnacentral:lncRNA from 1 species